GAGGUUUUAGUUAAUUCAUAACACCGCCUUGUCAAGACGAAAUAAUGGGUUAAACCCCCAUACUCCUCU
rnacentral:tRNA from 1 species